GAUGAACGCUAGCUACAGGCUUCACACAUGCAAGUCGAGGGUCCCGCGCACGUGUGAGUCACACGUAUCCAACCCGCCCCUUACUCGGUGAUAGCCUUUCGAAAGAAAGAUUAAUCCCCGAUAUAAACGAUCGGGAUGCGUUUCAGUAGUUUGUUGGUGAGGUAACGGCACACCAAGCCUUCGAUGGGUAGUGGUGCUGAGAGGAAGGUACACGAAAUUGGAAAUGAGACACGGACCAGACUCCUACGAGCGGCAGCAGUGAGGAAUAUUGGUCAAUGGGCGCGAGCCUGAACCAGCCAAGUAGCGUGAAGGAUGAAGGCGUAUGGGUCGUAAACUUGUUUUAUAUAAGAAUAGGUAUUAUAUGAAUAAGGAGCGGCUAACUCCGUGCCAGCAGCCGCGGUAAUAC
rnacentral:rRNA from 1 species